GACGAACGCUGGCGGCGUGCUUAACACAUGCAAGUCGAACGGAAAGGCCCUGCUUUUGUGGGGUGCUCGAGUGGCGAACGGGUGAGUAACACGUGAGUAACCUGCCCUUGACUUUGGGAUAACUUCAGGAAACUGGGGCUAAUACCGGAUAGGAGCUCCUGCUGCAUGGUGGGGGUUGGAAAGUUUCGGCGGUUGGGGAUGGACUCGCGGCUUAUCAGCUUGUUGGUGGGGUAGUGCUUACCAAGGCUUUGACGGGUAGCCGGCCUGAGAGGGUGACCGGCCACAUUGGGACUGAGAUACGGCCCAGACUCCUACGGGAGGCAGCAGUGGGGAAUAUUGCACAAUGGGCGGAAGCCUGAUGCAGCAACGCCGCGUGCGGGAUGACGGCCUUCGGGUUGUAAACCGCUUUCGCCUGUGACGAAGCGUGAGUGACGGUAAUGGGUAAAGAAGCACCGGCUAACUACGUG
rnacentral:rRNA from 1 species